UAAUACGGAGGUGGCAAGCGUUACUCGGAAUCAUUGGGUGUAAAGGGCAAGUAGGCGGCUUAGUAAGUGAGGGGUGAAAUUCAUUGACUCAAUCGGUGAACUGCCUUUCAAACUGCUAGGCUUGAGGAUGACAGGAGAAAAUGGAAUUCUCGGUGUAAGGGUGAAAUCUGUAGAUAUCGAGAAGAACACCAGCGGCGAAGGCGAUUUUCUAGGUCAAUCCUGACGCUAAAUUGCGAAAGCUAGGGGAGCAAACAGAAUUAGAUACUCUGGUAGUCCUAGCCGUAAACGAUGAGCACUAGGUGUUGGUUCCGUAAAGGAAUCAGUGCCGCAGCUAACGCAUUAAGUGCUCCACCUGGGGACUACGGUCGCAAGGCUA
rnacentral:rRNA from 1 species